rnacentral:lncRNA from 1 species
GGUUAAGAAUAAUUAGGCAAGGACUCAGCUUUCUGCAAAAGGUCUGUACAGUUUAUUCAGAGAACGUUCUUCCGUCCAUUUUACAGAACAUUAUAUACCAGGCUCCUCAUUUACGCACACACAUUACAUACUAACAUCAAGAGUUAAUUGUCCUCUUCCCCAGAACUCUCAAAACCGUAAAUCCUGGUCCUGCCGACAUUUUUAGUACUCUGAGAUUAGGGAAACCUGGAGGGUUCAAGCUAGGUCAGGUCAACCACAGUUUAACAGUUGAUGUUUACUUAAACCCACAGACACCAAUUCCUCUCUUAUCCUAGUCAAUCUCAUGAGAUUUAUGCUUAACCCUUUAGUUACUCAUUCUACAGGCUAUAUAGACCAUAUCCCUAAAUUCAGGGUAGAAUUAUUUAAUCAUUACUCUCAAGCAGGAAUUCCUUUAACAGUAGUCCAAAAUUAUAGAAAAAUAUUUGGCUGCUUUUAGCGCACUGCACACUGUCUGCUCGAUUUCUUGUGCCAACAUGUCAAUUAUUUAGUUCUUGAUUCUUUUACCGAGGUAGUGCACAUGUGUUUCUUUGGAGUGCACGCUCCAUACUUGCUUCUUCGUGAUUCCAUCAAAAAUACCCAGCAUUUCCACAAGUUCCCAUUAUUUGGCUCGUUCAGCCUGUCCGUGGUCCCACGUAACGCAAUGUUCUGGGUGGCCAUUACGCAUAUCAGGGCUAUGAGCCUCUGCAGCACCUGCUGCCAGUGGAGAGUCUCUCCGUCAAUAGCCUGCUGGGGUUGGGCAUUGAUAGUUUGCUUGGACACCAGCCUGAUCUCCAGCUCCUUCCACCUCUGGGAAUUAUCUAGGUGGUCAUGCGACUUGUCAUGCGAGCUGAGGAGGUGGCACAGAUUCUUCCAGUCUCUGAUUCCAUCCCUGACCAGCGCAGAUUUGUACUCGUGUGAAAAAGUUUACAACAAAAACAGAAUGCUGAAUUGUUGUGAUUGGAAUAGACAAGCCAUGGUCUCUCCAUUCUCUCCCGUUUGCCAUCCUCCUAUUGUAGUGGGCCAACAAAAGCUUUUGUUGCCCCUCAUCUCUUGGGAAAUUCCCCUCCUUAUCCUGAUUUGGCCCAGGCUGCACUAACAACAUAUCCCAUAAAGAUCCAUUCACAUAUUUUGGCCACUCACCGGGAUCUUUUUAUGUUUUUUGUCUGGGAGUCGGAUUUAGCAGCAGCACCCCCACUGUCAUCGGGGACGGGUCUUUUAAAGGUAAAAAUCUGUCGUUCUGCCCUUGAACAAGGCAGUUAAUCCACUGUUCCUAGGCCGUCAUUGAAAAUAAGAAUUUGUUUUUGACUGACUUGCCUAGUUAAAUAAAGGUCAAAUAAAAAAAUAAAAAGAUAGUAGGGUCUUCGCCGCUGUGGCAUGGCCUGGUGCAACCACCUGUUCUUUUCCAGCCAGAGAGCUGUCAUCAUCGAUGGAAGUGCAAGGCUCGGACUCCUCCGGGUUGCCCUCUUCGCUGCUAGAAUCAGCGAACAGGGGCUCGUUGUUCUCGGCGAAGUUAUGGCCUGUCCUCGGAGGCUUGUCAUUCUCCACACCGGCUGAUGGACAUUGCUGCACGCUGAUACAUUUCAGCAGCGAAUUUAUUUGGUUUAGAGAUUGUGCCUCUUUUCUCAUUCAUUUUUUUGGAUACUCGCUUCCUGAUAGUUUUUGUCUUUUAGACAUGCUGGCAAAUUGUUUCAAAUCUCUAUAGCUUACUUUUAGUGAAAAUGAUAUCCACUAGUAGUACAGCUAGCUAACGUUAACAGGCUAGGUUAGGCUGCCUUAUUCACUAAUCGUGUCUGUCACACAUAAACAUAAAAAACAAUGCAAUCAUUUAAUUGGCAGAUUCGUUUUUAUUAAUGUUUCACAAUUGGAUAAUCCCAUAUAAACACACACAUCACCAUAGCUACCAAACAUAGUGGAAGUCAAUUUCCACCUUUUCCGUGUACCCCAAGGGGUUCUUCAACAAAAUGGCCACAACAUUUUCGGCAGCAUAAGCCAUUCUACCAUUCUAGCGGAGAAAACUGUACACUUACGAUGGUAGCUAGGUAGCUACUGAAAUUUGCAAAGAUAACUUUAAAAAAGUGUAUGCUUUUGCUGCCAGGAAGGCCAGGCAUGUCAACUUGUCUGAAUAAAAGCUCUGUCUCUCUGAUGAUUUCAUUUCUGGACAGCUACCGAGAGAAAACGUUGCUGACUGCAAUGCAGCACCAAAGAAGAGGAAUGAGGCCACUUUAGGCAGAGACUAAAUAAAUAAAUGUUGAAACAGAUGUUGGUCAAUCAAAUUCAUUAUGUAAAUAAACAAUUCGUUAAGGCUGGAUCAUUGACAUAAAGCUUAUUCUACACUGCUCCAGCGAAACAAAGCCCGCCAUGCAUUUAUGAAAGCAAUUGCUUCUAAAGCUAAAAUGAUCUCUCUUUUUUACAGUUCUAC